ACAGCAGUAGCCGCGGGAAUACAGAGGGUGCGAGCGUUAAUCGGAUUUACUGGGCGUAAAGCGUGCGUAGGCGGCUAAUUGAGUCGGAUGUGAAAUCCCCGAGCUUAACUUGGGAAUUGCAUUCGAUACUGGUUAGCUAGAGUGUGGGAGAGGAUGGUAGAAUUCCAGGUGUAGCGGUGAAAUGCGUAGAGAUCUGGAGGAAUACCGAUGGCGAAGGCAGCCAUCUGGCCUAACACUGACGCUGAGGUACGAAAGCAUGGGGAGCAAACAGGAUUAGAUACCCGAGUAGUCCCUGUCUCUUAUAC
rnacentral:rRNA from 1 species